GACGAACGCUGGCGGCGUGCUUAACACAUGCAAGUCGAACGAAGUGGCGAACGGGUGAGUAACGCGUAAUCAACCUGCCCUUCAGAGGGGGACAACAGUUGGAAACGAAUGCUAAUACCGCAUACUGAAGGAGGGGAUUGCGUCUGAUUAGCUAGUUGGGGGGGUAACGGCCCACCAAGGCGGAGGUCAGUAGGCGGGCUGGGAGGAUGAACGGGCAAAUUGGGACUGGGACACGGCCCAGACUCCUACGGGAGGCAGCAGUGGGGAAUCUUCCGAAAUGGACGAAAGUCUGACGGAGCAACGCCGCGUGAGUGAUGACGGCCUUCGGGUUGUAAAGCUCUGUUAAUCGGGACGCGGUACCGGCAUAGAAAGCCACGGCUAACUACGUGCCAGCAGCCGCGGUAAUUC
rnacentral:rRNA from 1 species